GAUCUCUUCUGUCAUCAUUAUUUACCCAUACACCGGUGACGUCAGAAGGGACGUGAUUUCCUCAUAUGAAAGUGAAAGUAACUGUGUAGUCUACACCGUUACAAAAUGACUGUAGAAAAUGUAGCGCACAUUUCUCUGCAACAUUAGAAGCAGGAUAAAUGUGUUGAUUUGAAGGACAGACGGGCAGACUCUGGUAAGUCUUGGCUACAUAUAACUAUUAUAAAGUUAGGUCGUAGUCAGACAUUCAAUUGACAGAGUAACCUUGAGAUAUGAUUCUUUAUCAUGCUGACCAACCUGGGCCCGGUUUCUGCGAUAGAAUUUAGACUUAACGCUGGAAACGCAUAAUAAGUGGUAAACGAUAAUUAACUAAAUACAGUGUUGAGUAAACGCUAUUUUACAAAUAAAAAGGUGUGUAAGCGCGUUUACGUGGGUUUACCCUCCACCACAUCCCCGUUGAGGUGGUGUGCAGCGUAGAGUGCAUAGUCAUUUAGUCUCUAUGGGCCAGAUGGUGAGGGCCACAGCAUAGUCCUUUAGUCUCUAUGGGAAAAGAAACUGUUCAGAUGGGGGUCUAUAACAUCCAAUCACAUACUCCUCAAGAUGAGGCUCAUGAUUUAUAAGUUAUAUACCUUUUAAUCUUUACAUAUAUUGUCUUUAUUUAAACCAAGGUAGUUUGAGUUAGUAGCGAUGAAGUAGCAACUGUCAGCUGCUGUAAACCUGUGACAGUCUUCAUAAGAGAGCUGAUCUCGGAUCAGUUUAGCUGUUUAUAUCAUAUUGAUACUGCUGUUAACCAUCUGACAGUCUUCAUAGGAGAGCUGAUCUCAGAUCAGUUUAGCUUAUUAUAUCAUAUUGAUACUGCUGUAAACCUGUGACAGUCUUCAUAGGAGAGCUGAUCUCGUAUCAGUUUAGCUGUUUAUAUCAUAUUGAUACUGCUGUAAACCUGUGACAGUCUUCAUAGGAGAGCUGAUCUCGUAUCAGUUUAGCUGUUUAUAUCAUAUUGAUACUCCUGUAAAGUCAGGUUACAGCAGGUGUUUACUGCCAUCUAGUGGAAGAUAUUUUAUUUUUAUUUCACUUUUAUUUAACUAGGUAAGUCAGAACAAAUUCUUAUUAACAAUGACGGCCUACCCCGGCCAAACCUUGACGACGCUGGGCCAAUUGUGCGCCGCCCUAUGGGACUCCCAGUCAUGCAGCCUGGACUCUAACCAGGUACUGCAGUGACGCAAGAGGCGGGACUGCACCACUCGGGAGGUGGCUGAGCUGAAACAGAAAGUAAAUAUGUUAUUUUGUUCAGGAUCCAUUUUGAGACGACAGAGCAGAAAACACUAUAUGGAGAUUAUUGAAAAAUAAAUGGCCUGGCUGCAUCCAGACUGUCAAAGGCCCAUCCUGGUAGAUCUGAACCUAAUGCAGCUUGGAGUGAUCAGAUGACAGAAGUCACAUUUAGGUGCCAGGUCUUCAGCAGGCUUGAAACGUGAUACUGAUUUUCAUACUAAGAGGGACCAGGAGUCUGUUGAUUGGCCAGUCAUUGGGUUCAUUUGUUGAAAUCAAAUCAAGCUUUAUUUAUACAGCACAUUUCAGACAUGGAUCCAACACAAUGGCUUCAUA